rnacentral:rRNA from 1 species
UUACAUCUCUUCGGAGCAUUUUACGAGGUGCUGCAUGGUUGUCGUCAGCUCGUGCCGUGAGGUGUCGGGUUAAGUCCCAUAACGAGCGCAACCCUACCUUUAGUUGCCAUCAGGUAAUGCUGGGGACUCUAAAGGAACUGCCUACGCAAGUAGUGAGGAAGGCGGGGAUGACGUCAAAUCAGCACGGCCCUUACGUCCAGGGCUACACACGUGCUACAAUGGCCGAUACAGAGGGCAGCUACCUGGUGACAGGAUGCAAAUCUCCAAAGUCGGUCUCAGUUCGGAUCGGAGUCUGCAACCCGACUCCGUGAAGUUGGAUUCGCUAGUAAUCGCGCAUCAGCCAUGGCGCGGUGAAUACGUUCCCGGGCCUU